rnacentral:rRNA from 1 species
GAUGAACGCUGGCGGCGUGCUUAACACAUGCAAGUCGAACGGGAAACCUUUUAUUGAAGCUUCGGCAGAUUUAGCUGGUUUCUAGUGGCGGACGGGUGAGUAACGCGUGGGUAACCUGCCUUAUACAGGGGGAUAACAACCAGAAAUGGUUGCUAAUACCGCAUAAGCGCACAGGACCGCAUGGUCCGGUGUGAAAAACUCCGGUGGUAUAAGAUGGACCCGCGUUGGAUUAGCUAGUUGGCAGGGUAACGGCCUACCAAGGCGACGAUCCAUAGCCGGCCUGAGAGGGUGAACGGCCACAGUGGGACUGAGACACGGCCCAGACUCCCACGGGAGGCAGCAGUGGGGAAUAUUGCACAAUGGGGGAAACCCUGAUGCAGCGACGCCGCGUGAAGGAAGAAGUAUCUCGGUAUGUAAACUUCUAUCAGCAGGGAAGAUAGUGACGGUACCUGACUAAGAAGCCCCGGCUAACUACGUG